UACGUAGGGUGCGAGCGUUAAUCGGAAUUACUGGGCGUAAAGCGUGCGCAGGCGGUUUUGUAAGCCAGAUGUGAAAUCCCCGGGCUUAACCUGGGAAUGGCAUUUGGGACUGCAAGGCUGGAGUUUGGCAGAGGAGACUGGAAUUCCUGGUGUAGCAGUGAAAUGCGUAGAUAUCAGGAGGAAUACCGAUGGCGAAGGCAGGUCUCUGGGCUAUAACUGACGCUCAUGCACGAAAGCGUGGGGAGCGAA
rnacentral:rRNA from 1 species